UUAAAUCUUAGAAAACAUCAGUGUGAUCAUUUUAAACAGAAGCUUUACAAAGAUAAUAAAAGUGAGAAAGUUUUUAAUCGAGUGUCAAAAUUUAUCUAUCCAAGCUUUGAUAUUCAAGAAAAGAACGACAAAUGUAUGGGACGUUCAAGAGCUUUAAAUAAAAUUGCAAGCAUUACUGAACACCAGAAAAUUCAUACUGGAGGGAAGUCCUACAAAUUUAAAGAAUGUGUAAAACCAUUUAAAAAUUACUCAAUCCUUUAUCAUAGCAGUGACAAACCCUACAUAUGUAAAGAAUGUGGUAAAGGUUUUAGUCAACCUUCAACCCUUACUAAACACCAUAUGACUCACUGUGGAGAGAGCCCAUACAAAUGGAGGAAAUGUGUCAAAGUCCUUAAGUAUCACUCAACCCUUAUUAAACACCACAGUAUUUAUAAUAGAGAAAAGCUCUACAAAUGUAAUGAAUGUGGCAAAAGUUUUAAUCGAAGCUCAAACCUUAUUGUUCACCGUAGAAUUCAUACUGGAGAGAAGCCAUACAAAUGUGAAGAAUGUGAGAAAGCCUUUCAUCAAAAAUCACACCUUACUCAACACCAAAGGAAUCAUUCUGGAGAAAAGCCCUACAAGUGUAAAGAAUGUGGCAAAGCUUUUACUGUUAGGCCAAGCCUUAUUGCUCACCAGAGAGUUCAUACUAGAGAGAAGCCAUACAAAUGUGAAGAAUGUGGCAAAGCUUUUAAUGAAAAGUCACACCUUAUCUGCCAUCAGAGAAUUCAUACUGGAGAAAAGCCAUACAAAUGUAAAGAAUGUGGCAAAGCUUUUACUGUUAAGACAAGCCUUAUAGCUCACCAGAGAAUUCAUACUGGAGAAAAGCCAUACAAAUGUAAAGAAUGUGGCAAAGCUUUUACUGUUAGGCCAAGCCUUAUAGCUCACCAGAGAAUUCAUACGGGAGAAAAGCCAUACAAAUGUAAAGAAUGUGACAAAGCUUUUACUCAAAUCUCAAAACUUAUUAUUCACCAGAGAAUUCAUACUGGAGAAAAACCAUACAAAUGUAAAGAAUGUGGCAAAGCUUUUAUUGAAAGAUCAUACCUUACUCAACACCAGAGUUUUCAUACUGGAGAAAAGCCUUACAAAUGUAAAGAAUGUGGCAAAGCUUUUUAUCUAAACUCAAAACUUACUGUUCACCAGAGAAUUCACACUGGAGAAAAGCCCUACAAAUGUAAAGAAUGUGGCAAAGCAUUUAAUCAAAACUCAAGUCUUAAUGUACACCAGAGAAUUCAUUCUGGAGAGAAACCAUACAAAUGUAAAGAAUGUGGCAAAGCAUUUAAUCAAACCUCAAGUCUUAAUGUACAUCAAAAAAUUCACACUGGAGAGAAAACAUACAAAUGUAAAGGCCAUGGAAUGAGGCAAAAUUGUUAAGUAAUCCCUCAAGUGUUAUCAAGCAGCAGAGAAUUCAUACUUGAGAGAAUCCUUACAAAUAUAAAUGUUAAAAAGCAUUUAUUGUGACAUCAUACUUUAUUGAUCACCAGAUAAUUCAGAGUGGAACAAAGCCCUACAAUUGAAGAAAAAAUGUGGCAAAGUUUUUAUUCAAAGUUCAGCAUUUUAAAAAUGUCAAACAUUAUAGUAGGGAUUAAACCCUACAAACGUAGAGUAUGUGACAACACUUUUAAGAGAAGCUCCCACCUUACAAAUCACCACCAUAGAUAUAGUACCUGAGCCCUAUAAAUGUAAAGAAUAUGUCAAAGCUUUAUUCAAAUGAAAAAAUUAUACAUUAUCAAAACCUAAUUCUUGUUAAUAUCUGCAUAAAACCCUCUGUCCAAGAUGCAUAGCUAAUAUGUCAGCAAAAUGUUUAACAUUGAGAAAAAUGUUGACAUAUGAGAAAAAUACAGCAAAGUCAUUGUUUUCCAUAUAUUUCUGAAAUGAGCAUUAUCAGAGAAUUUCUAUAAGUAUAGAAAACAUGGCAUUACUUUUAACAGUUUCUUAAAAUUUACUGGGCAUCAUUAGUUGAUGUGAUAGAAAUAAAGUAACCCUCAGAUAUCAACAUAGUGCAAAUAGCUCAUCCCUGAAAAAAAUAUUUGUUUAUUACAAAUAAAAACUAAAUAUAUAUACUCAAAAACUGGAGAAAAGUAAUUUUUCCUCUAGGUAAUUAUAUCAAAGGAAAAAUACUCAUUAAUAAGAAUUUUAAAUUUGACUUUUUUCUUGUGGUGGUGGUGAUGAGGAUUGAACCCAGGGCUCUCGAAUGCUAAGCAAAUGUUCUACCACUGAGUCACAUCCGUAGCCAGUGUAUUCUGUAUUUUGUGAAGACUUUGCAAUUAUAUUUGAAAUACUUUAUUCACAUUGUGAAAGAAUUUUAUUACAAAAUAACAGUGAAUGUUUCUGAAUUGUUAACACUAUCAUGUAUUGAAUUACAUUUUAUGAUAGUUUGUAGACAACGAAGAGAUACUGUUUGGUAAACAAUGUGACAUUUCUUUUAAUCCUUUUAGGCAAUGUAGUCAAUCUUCAAAUUAUGUGGAGAUGAUUUAAUCAUUUCUAAAGAAACUGGCUCAAUAAAUUGUGUAACUUAAUCAUUUCUCAUUUUUUAUAUUUAUUGUGGACAAAGACACUAUAGGAAAUAUAAUGAAAGAUGAUAACAAAUCCAGAUUGCUAAAUCUUAAGUAACUAUUUCAAAAUUUUAUUCUAUAAUUUAUGGGUGUUUUACUGAUAUAUUGAUAUCCCUUCAUGUCAUGAACAUUGGUUUUGAUUGAAAUUUAUUUGAAUAUACAAAUUUUCCGAUCUAAUGGUAAAGUUUGGGAGUAAGUAUGAUAGAAGUAGUAAUUCUCUCUUUCUGUCUCUCUCUCUUUUAUGUGUGAGAGAAUGGAUGUGUUUGCUUAUGCCUCUGUUUAGAAACAAAAUAACUUAUUUAAUGAAAGAGAAUUUCAAGAUUUUUCAUGAUUACUAGUAAACUAUAAACAACAAAUAUCUUUUAACAAUCUUCUGAGGUACACUAAACUCAUUUCUUCCAAAUACAUGAUUCCUGAUUUAAAAAUCUUGCCACACCAAUUUUGGCCUUUCUGUUUGCUUGUUACUCAUGGAACAUGUAACAUAUAACUUUUUGGUUUGAAACUUUUAUAAUACAUUGCUAUAUGAUCUGUUCAGAGAAUUUAAGAAUAAUUUUAAUGAUAGUUAC
rnacentral:lncRNA from 1 species